GACGAACGCUGGCGGCGUGCCUAACACAUGCAAGUCGAGCGAGGAGAGUUCCUUCGGGAACAAACCUAGCGGCGGACGGGUGAGUAACACGUGGGCAACCUGCCUUGUAGAGGGGAAUAGCCUUCCGAAAGGAAGAUUAAUACCGCAUAACAUUACAGUUUCGCAUGAAACAGUAAUUAAAGGAGUAAUCCGCUACAAGAUGGGCCCGCGGCGCAUUAGCUAGUUGGUGAGGUAAUGGCUCACCAAGGCGACGAUGCGUAGCCGACCUGAGAGGGUGAUCGGCCACAUUGGGACUGAGACACGGCCCAGACUCCUACGGGAGGCAGCAGUGGGGGAAUAUUGCACAAUGGGGGAAACCCUGAUGCAGCAACGCCGCGUGAGUGAUGAAGGUUUUCGGAUCGUAAAGCUCUGUCUUCGGGGACGAUAAUGACGGUACCCGAGGAGGAAGCCACGGCUAACUACGUG
rnacentral:rRNA from 1 species